GACGAACGCUGGCGGCGUGCUUAACACAUGCAAGUCGAACGGAAAGGCCCUGCUUUUGUUUUUUUCUCGAUUGGCGAACGGGUGAGUAUCACAUGAGUAACCUGUCCUUAUCUUUGUGAUAACUUCAGGAAACUGGGGCUCAUACCGGAUAGGAGCUUCCGCUGCAUAGUGUUCGUUAGUGAGUUUCGGCGGUUGUGUAUGGACUCGCGGCUUAUCAGCUUGUUGGUGUGGUAGUUGCUUUCCAGGGGUUUGACGGGUAGCCGGCCUGAGAGGGUGACCGGCGACAUUGGGACUGAGGGACGGCCCAGACUCCUACGGGAGGCAGCAGUGGGGAAUAUUGCAGAGUGGGCGGAAGUGUGAUGCAGCAACGCCGCGUGCGGGAUGACGGCCUUCGGGUUGUAAACCGAUUUGGACUGUGAUGAAGAGUGAGUGACGGUAAUGGGUAAAGAAGCAACGGCUAACUACGUG
rnacentral:rRNA from 1 species